CGUUUUGAGACAAUGGUAUAUCAUACCGAUCGAGCGAGGCGCUUACGCCGGACUCCCCGCUUCUCCUCCCUGAGCGGGCGCCUGUCGAUAUUCGAUUAGGCUGUUAACCCGCCGUCAAUGCGGCGGGUUUUUUUAUGCCGGAGCGCUCGAUCACAGGCGC
rnacentral:ncRNA from 13 species